rnacentral:misc_RNA from 1 species
UUUCCGUAGGUGAACCUGCGGGGGGAUCAUUAUUGUAUAACCGAGGUGCGAGAGAUGUCGCUGACCCGAAAGGUCGUUCACGCCGGAGUGCCCUCACACAAAUCAAUCCCACCCCUAUCUGCACCACCGCGGGGGUCCACCUUUGGCUAGUUCGGGGGCGGGCUGACAGUUUCACACAAACUUUUUAUUCAGUGUAGAAUGUAUUUUUUGUUUUUUCGAUUACGCCAUCCAUACAACUUUCACCAACGGAUUGCUUGGAUCACGCAUCCAUGAAGAACG